rnacentral:lncRNA from 1 species
AGCUAACUGAAAACUGUAGUUCAACCUCUAUGUACUUUCUGUGAAGUACCUAGUAUUUUCUUUGCCAAGAAAGAAUGUGUGAGAGAACUGAGACUCAGACCUAGUCCUGCUGGUGGAGGUUGGGAGGGUGAUGUAGAAGGACAUUUACUGGGAAAGAGUGGAACAGACACAUAAUAAAAUACUUAUGGUAUAGUGUAGCAAUUAUCCAAUGCAUAUGUUUUGAAUGGAUACUCGAAUGAAUAUUAAAAAAGGCUGAAAGAGCUUGAAGGUGGGGCUCUGUUCCUGAAGAGAUUACAUGGGAACCUGGAAUGAUUGAAAGUUAACAGUUUGCCUGGUGAUUUAUAAGUGAAAGGCAUACUUCCAUCACAGCACUAUUAGAACGAUAUUCCAAUUGAUGGUUCAUGCAUUGAUUGAAUAAGAAGUACUUACUACCUUAUCAUAUGUCAGCAAAUUUGCUAAACUCAGAGAACAGUAAGAAAUAAAAUGAAAUAGCUAUCCUGAAAUAACUUAUAAUCUAGUUCAGGGGUUUCUAAUUUCUCCACAAAUCUGGGGAUAUGUUUUUUUCUCCCUUUUGAUUUCCAGAUCUCAGCCCAGUUCUUAGUAUACAUUGGAUUUCAGGAAAUAUAUAUUGAACACGUCAAUUCUCUUUGCAUCCCUGAAAACUUAAAAUGGAUAGCUGCUGGACCCACCUGGCUUUAUAAUUUGAAAUUGCUUCAUAUCGUUCAAAUGUGAAGUAACUUUUUAAAAACCUGCUUGUGGCCCCCCUUCUGGUUAACAUGGACACUUCUGAAAUACAUCUUGGCUUUGACAACACCUUUCUCUGACUUCGGAGGAAAAGUCUUACAAGAAAGGUGAGCUUAUUUGGGUUUAUCAUCUUAGUCCUGCUCAAUUUUUAAAAAUAUUUAAUUGGCUAAUAAAAACUGUAUA